UGCCAGCCGCCGCGGUAAUACGGAGGGUCCAAGCGUUAUCCGGAUUUAUUGGGUUUAAAGGGUACGUAGGCGGAAGAAUAAGUCAGUGGUGAAAUCCUGCAGCUCAACUGUAGAACUGCCAUUGAUACUGUUUUUCUUGAGUAUAGUUGAGGUGGGCGGAAUGUGUCAUGUAGCGGUGAAAUGCUUAGAUAUGACACAGAACACCGAUUGCGUAGGCAGCUCACUAAACUAUCACUGGCGCUGAGGUACGAAAGCGUGGGGAGCGAACAGGAUUAGAUA
rnacentral:rRNA from 1 species